rnacentral:rRNA from 1 species
GGUGAGUCCUGGCGCGGAUGCGGGGGGAUACGGAGGGUGCGGGCGUUGGGCGGAAUCACGGGGCGUAAAGCGCGCGUGUGUGGCGCGGGAAGUCCGUGGUGAAAGCCCGAGGCUCAACUUCGGGUCGGCUCCGGAGACUCCCGUGCUCGAGUAUGGGAGAGGCUAAUGGAAUUCCGGGUGUAGCGGUGGAAGGCGUAGAGAGCCGGAAGAACACCGGUGGCGAAGGCGGUUAGCUGGGCCAUUACUGACACUGAUGCGCGACAGCGUGGGGAGCAAACAGGAUUAGAUACCCGGGUAGUC